rnacentral:lncRNA from 1 species
CCGCUCUUCCCAGCGCCACGCCCGCAACGGCCGCACCGUCGCUAACCGCCCCUCUGCCCUAAGCAUGUCGCCGCCGCACUCACCUCCACUUUUAAACCCUCGGACGUUGCUCGCUCCUCCUUUGCUCGCUCGCGCUGCCGCCUUGUUGUCGCCAGGCCGUUGUCAUCCCCGAGCCGUCGUCGUUCACCGUCGGACGCCAAUCUCCAUUGGGCGCCGCUCCUCCUCGCUUCGCCGGACCGCACGCCAUCAUCGCCUUCACGCCGGUGAACGCCCGCUAUCCCUUCCCUUCCCCCUCUUUGUUUUCCCCUCUCCGCUGCCCCCGCGGGUGCACCAAGCCACUCGGCCGCUCCUCUCCCUUCGCCCACACGCCACCGUCGAGGCUGCCGCCUCUUCCUCCCUCGGCCAUCACUGUCGUUAGCCACUUGGCUGACGUCGCCAUCUCCUCAUCGCGCGCGCCGCGCCGUCGAGCCGUCGGUUGCCCGCUACUCUGCUUCCCCGCGUCAUGCUACGCCGUCACAGGCUACGUCGCGCUAAGCCGCCACUUGCCGCUGCCCCUCGUUACUGCUCCUCCGCCACCGCUUGCUGCCGCAUAGCCGCACCCUGGUUAUCGCUCUUGCGUCAUCGCCGUCGCCCCUCUCGGGUCGUCAUAGCGUCGCCCGUGUCGCCACCCGCCGCCUAGCGCCUUUCUUCGCUGGUCGCCGUCGGCCUUCACCGUCCGUCGCCACCGUGCUCGCGCCGCCUCUCAUCGGAUCGCCGUUGCACCGCGGAUCUUUCCAGGCCGCUGCCGAUCUCCCCUUGCCCUCACGGCCCCGCUCUCCCCUCUCUUCGUUGCCACCGUUUUUCUCCGCCGAUCGCCGCCGUUGUCGGCCGGCCGUCCCCCCCCCCCGCUGGCUCGGCAUCCACCGCCAGUCGCCCACCAUGCUGUUUGAGCCAUCUCCUCCCCCUCCUCUAUUAUUUGUCUCUACCACGCGGGGCCCUUCCGCCAGCCUUUACCUCUCUCUCCCCACGUGCGCCUCACUGCAUCAGCCCCUCUCUCUCCAGUAAGCCCCUUCGGUCAGCCCCUCUCACUCCCUCCUCUCCCUUGUGUCACUGACAGCCGGGGCCCAUGCUGUCAGGGGCUGUCCCCUCUCUCCCCUCUCCUUGAGUCACUGUCCAGUGGGCCUAUGUUAUCAGCAUUUCCUCUCUCCUCUCGUGCUAACGUAAUGGCCUCCAAUUAAUUGUGCAAUAAUCUACUUAAGGUUUUUUUUGUGUAGUUUAAAACACAUAUAAACUUCUAAAAUUCAUAGCUAAUUCAUCUAGUCCCCAUUUUAGUCAAUUCAAAUUUCAUUAAAUCUAGAAAAAUGUCAAGAAUCCAUUAAAAAUAGUUUCUUUCUCUGUUUCAAUAGUUUUAUAGCUCGUUUUGCUUGUUUUCCUCUGUUUAUCGUAGGUUUUUCGCCCGUCGAAGCUUCGAUUGUUCUUGAAGUCGUUGCCGAAGUUCCUCGUGGGUUAGAUAAAGGCAAGUGGCACCCUAUCUUUGAUCAUAUUGACUUGAUAUUUAUAAAAUUUCUUGCUUUACAUUCAAACUUGCAUUAUUUUUAUGCAAAUUUACUUUACUUUUUUUAUUUAUCUAUUGGGCAAUUACCUUUAUACCCGUUAAUUCCCACAUAUUAUUAUUGUCAUCCCAGGGUUAAUUUGACUAGAAUUAGGAUUACGCAAUGCUUAGCCUAGCUUAGUUCAACUAGCUCACCAAAUAUUUUUAAAUUAAUGUUAGACUUUGAUAGAUCUUUAAUGGUUAUGAUCAUGAUAAAUUACCUGAUGCGGGUUAAUAAUAACUAAAAUAUUGCUUAUGGUGGGCUGUGGGUGCAUGAUUUUGAGAGUCGUGCCCAUGGGAAUUAAGGACCGGUUCUCAGGAAACCCUAGAAGUCUUACACGUACCAACCACAAGCCAGAGUGGGCAACGGUGAGAUCCGUAGUCUAGCUUGUCCCUAUUCGACGUACCCAAGAAAGGAUGGCGUGAUAGAGUAUGGAUGAGAAUUGUGGUGUAACGAUGGCCUAUGCUGUUUCUGAAUUCACCUAGACACAAGAGGGGGUUGUCCGACUUGGUUUAAAGGAGGGGGCGAAACUUGAAGUGUGGUGCGAUUGUCUAGGAAGGGUUAGGUGAAAGGUCUUAUCAUGGUUUCCGUGCUGACGUAUCGUGGUGAUACGUUGGGGCAUGGUAACAUGCUGGGGAGCCAUGUCUCGUGGGUAAAGUUGUACACCUCUGAUUAGAGUAAAACUAUUCGAAUAUUCGUGCCCGUGGUUAUGGGGUGAACUGGCAAGGAUUAGUCGUACCAUUAAUAAUUUGAUUAAUCUUGAAACUGGUUUGACCCUGCACAACAUGGUGUAACGUUGGUAGUGGUUCGGGUCUGUUGCAACGUGGUGUAACGUUGGACAGAGGGUUGACGCUAUCGCUACGUGGUUUAACGUUGGACAGUGGUUUGGACCUGUUGCAACGUGGUGUAAUGUUGGACAGUGGAUGAUUAUUUUAAAUGUUUACUUUACUUUUUGUUCAGUCUAUUUUAUUUACUAUUUUGCUAAAUUAACACUGCUUUUAUGCAAAGUAACCUUAGCCUAUCCUUGAUACCCUAUUGCAUUCAUUAUUCCCCUUUCUUGGGUGUUACUUGUUGAGUAUGGUGGUUUGUACUCAGUCUUGCUUAAUUUUUCCUCCACCAGAGCAAGUGUCAGAGCUUCAGUCAGAAGGUGCUAGUUCCCGAGGGUGAAAGUGAGGUUUAGUCCACCAUCAAGAAUGCCUGUAGUGUGGAGCCAUCUUCGCCAGCUGAAGCUCAAGACUAGUUGGAGUUUUAGUUUUUUCUUUUCCACUGCAUUUCGAUAAACAACUGUUUUUAUUUGUUUUAAGUCAUGGAACUAUGUAUUAAUUUGUCAUAGGUGUACUCAGGCUGAUUUCUGGACCAAGAUUUAAUACAUGCUAUUGUUCGGAAAUUGGUGUAAA